AAAAGCUAUUUAUCUGUCAGUCCUUCAUUAUAAAAACCCUUUUAGAAGCAGAUAAUGGAAAUCCCAAAAAUACAGCUGGGAAGCACCAAUCACACCAAAUCUGGCACUCAGCAACAGGCUGGAAGGAGAGUGAAUCUGUCCAUCACUAUUAAGGAUACAGAUGAUCAAGGACAAUAAGGUGACAGCAGGUUCAGGCCUCGGUGGAACAGAGUGUUUGUGUUGUGCGUCUGUUGUUUGUGUGUUCAGCCUCACAGAAGGCCGAUCUCUGUUGUGAUGAUGAGCUCAGGACACACCGCGGUGAUGCAUGGAAAAGAAAAGCAAAGGAAUGCCAAAUCCACAUCUUCACGGGUGGUGUGCAGUGUGUGAGAAAAACAAGAAGUGAAUUUAAAGCAAUGAGGUAUAAAUAAGACUAAAUAAGCUAAGAUGAAAAUUUGCAGAAAAUGUACACACCCUCAGGCCAUCUAAAAUGUAGAUGAGUUUGUUUUUUCAUGGGGAACAGAUUUGGAGAAAUUAAGCAUUACGUCACUUCCUCACCAAUGAAUCCAAACAGCUGAUAAAUUACCAUUAUAAUGUUUUUAGCUUAAAACCAUUGCUUUCAACCUAAAAUACUAGUCCUGGUUCUCUCGUCUGAAUCAGGGGAUAAAUAUGAGCAGAUUAAGCAGUGUUUACAAGCAAAAACAGUCCAAAACAAGUUCUAAACAAAUAUGUGGGUGGAUCUGAAUGUGAGAGGACAACAGUCGAUGGAGUUUUUCACUACAGGAAGUGUUAUUAUGCCUUAUUGAAUCCAUAUUUUGAUCAGAAGUAGUUAGAAAGCUUCAAUGAUGGAUUUGUUUCUUAUGUAUGUUAUGUGUAUGAAAGAUGAGGAUAUUUUGAUUUGACUCAUACCAACUAGAAGUAAAAUCUUGUUAGCUGUAACACUUUAAAUCCAAAUGUAAUGGAUAUAUUGCAAGCCUUUUUAAACAAUUGUUUUGAAUCAACAAGACGGAAUAUGAAAGCGCAGAUUAUUUAUAGCAAACUUGCCUGAACUGUCAUGAAUAAUAAAGCUGCUGUAUUCACGC
ensembl:lncRNA